rnacentral:rRNA from 1 species
UACGUAGGGGGCAAGCGUUGUCCGGAUUUAUUGGGCGUAAAGAGCGUGUAGGCGGCCAGACAGGUUCGUUGUGAAAACUUGAGGCUCAACCUCGAGACGCCGAUGGAAACCGUCUGGCUAGAGUCCGGAAGAGGAGAGUGGAAUUCCUGGUGUAGCGGUGAAAUGCGCAGAUAUCAGGAAGAACACCCGUGGCUAAGGCGGCUCUCUAGUACGGUACUGACGCUGAGACGCGAAAGCGUGGGGAGCGAACAGG